CUCAAAAUGCGUUGAAGCGCAACAGUUAACUGGUCCAUUUAAGGGCAAAACACUGUUUCGGUGUGGAUCGCAAGACCGGUACUAAAUCGAGGCAAAUUUUGAAUAUAGAUAUGACUUCAAAAUAACAAAGGUCAAGGUCGGCUAGUACAACGAUAAGGAUAAGCAUCAUUGUCGAUAAGGAAAUAGCCCGGCUCAACAACUAAGGCCCCUAAAUGCUCACUCAGUGAUAAAGGAAGUAAGGAUGUAGAGACAACCAUGAGGUUUUCCUACAAGCAGCCACCCUUGAAAGAGUGCGUAAUAUUUAAUAUAUAAAUUAACAUCAAUAGAAAAUAUUUCAUAUGUAUGCUUCACUAACUAUUUAGUUUAUGUUAGAG
rnacentral:ncRNA from 1 species